rnacentral:lncRNA from 1 species
AUAAAUUAAAGCAAAACAGACCAGGCAAAUACUCUUCUAAAAGCUAACAGGGGUAACUUGAAGAGAAAUAACUCAAGACAAAAUGAUAACUAUAGAUGCAAAAAAUAAAAUAAAAUUGAGCCAGACGACAUUAAAGGAUUCAAACAGUAAAUAAUCAUAGACUAAACAUGGAAGAUUUGAUCAAAACAAAGCUUAAACUAAAUCAAUGACACAUUCU